rnacentral:sRNA from 1 species
CUUGGCUGUCUGAAGAUAGAUCGCCAUCAUGAACGACACCGUAACUAUCCGCACUAGAAAGUUCAUGACCAACCGACUACUUCAGAGGAAACAAAUGGUCAUUGAUGUCCUUCACCCCGGGAAGGCAACAGUGCCUAAGACAGAAAUUCGGGAAAAACUAGCCAAAAUGUACAAGACCACACCGGAUGUCAUCUUUGUAUUUGGAUUCAGAACUCAUUUUGGUGGUGGCAAGACAACUGGCUUUGGCAUGAUUUAUGAUUCCCUGGAUUAUGCAAAGAAAAAUGAACCCAAACAUAGACUUGCAAGACAUGGCCUGUAUGAGAAGAAAAAGACCUCAAGAAAGCAACGAAAGGAACGCAAGAACAGAAUGAAGAAAGUCAGGGGGACUGCAAAGGCCAAUGUUGGUGCUGGCAAAAAGAAGGUAACAUGUUUUAAGAAACUAUGUAGCAUAG